AACAGUUUCAGACAUGUUAGAUGCUAAAUCAUAACUUCCUGUCCUCUUGCUGUCCUAUAUAAACUGACAUCGUUAACACUAUAGGAAACUAAGUUUUUAAGAAUGAGUUCUGGUUUAAGGUGCUUGUGUUGGUUGGUUCUUUUUUAUUUAAAGGGUGUAUAUACUUCAACAUGUGGAUUCACAAACUUCAUCGAAAGGUGGUAUAAGAAUGAAAACGAGAUUGCAAACAUCAGUUAUAUCCUUAACAUCACGGAUGGACCAGAUGUUUCAGUCUCCUUAAACAUCUUAUUUGAAGUAUGCGAAAACAACUACCUGCAAACUAGAUGCAACUGCAUUCUGUCAAAGCCCUCGAAUGAACCGGUUUCUGUCGUCCAAUGUAUGGGAACUAACCAGGUUUGUGUUUUUACCAAUCAAAGUCUUGGAAGCGUAGACAUCCACAUCUCUUAUCCAUUAAGCCUGCCAUUGAGUGUAAUGAGACUGUCGUGGAGGUCCAGAAGCUCAGCCUAUGAAACGGCGAGGAUGAUACGUCUUCAUGUCUCAAGUUAUCCACCUACUAGUUAUCGUCCUGAAGAUGUCAAAGGUCAGACUCCGGAAACUGUUAAACACAAAGGUGACGUCACUUAUUCAGCGAAUAGUAAAGGUAACGGGCUGAGUACAGGAUACCAAGAAAAUGGUUUCGAACAGAAAACAUCUGCGUCAUUUGAUGCCCCACGUAAGUACAAACAUACAAUCACAUCUAAAUUUCAUUGGCCUUUUCACCUUAUCGUCAAAUAUUUCACAUAUGUUAAUCAAUUACAACAGCUUUUUUAUAAAAUAAAAAAUCAUAUAUUCCAGUAUGAUAGAGAGCAUUGCAAUUAAACCAUACUUAAAACAGAUUCCCGAUGUAUGCAUUGUACAGCAUUUGACAUUGGUUGCUUCUCAUUCUAGACAGUGUUAUUCAGGAAAAGCGGAAUGAAUUUUAAACUGAAUUGGACUUUAGCUAACUUUAUAGACUUCCCAGGUCCUCAAACAGGGUCACAACCUUCUUGAAUUUAAAUGCUUGAGCGGGCUUACGAAAGGAAAGAUAAUGACAAUUUUAUGAAAGCUAUUUUGGGAGAACUAUUUUACAACUGUACAAAACGUACAGUCUAGCUGUAUUAUGAAUAAACAAAAAUAUGAAUGUUUGUGCUUUGCGUGGACUUUAAUUUUAUUCAUUUCUUUGGUGAGACAGCGACCGUCGUUUAAAUUUAAAGAAUUUACUACCGUGACAUUUUCAACCGCUAAAAAAAA